GCUUAUCACCAUUCCAGAUUGAAUAUACCCGAACUCGUCUGAUCUCGGAAGUCAAGCAAUCUCGGGGAAUCCACCACAU
rnacentral:rRNA from 1 species